GAUGAACGCUGGCGGCGUGCUUAACACAUGCAAGUCGAACGAUGAAGCCCAGCUUGCUGGGUGGAUUAGUGGCGAACGGGUGAGUAACACGUGAGUAACCUGCCCUUAACUCUGGGAUAAGCCUGGGAAACUGGGUCUAAUACCGGAUAGGAGCGUCCACCGCAUGGUGGGUGUUGGAAAGAUUUAUCGGUUUUGGAUGGACUCGCGGCCUAUCAGCUUGUUGGUGAGGUAAUGGCUCACCAAGGCGACGACGGGUAGCCGGCCUGAGAGGGUGACCGGCAACACGGGGACUGAGAAACGGCCCAGAGUCCUACGGGAGGCAGCAGUGGGGAAUAUUGCACAAUGGGCGCAAGCCUGAUGCAGCGACGCCGCGUGAGGGAUGACGGCCUUCGGGUGGUAAACCUCUUUCAGUAGGGAAGAAGCGAAAGUGACGGUACCUGCAGAAGAAGCACCGGCUAACUACGUG
rnacentral:rRNA from 1 species